rnacentral:rRNA from 1 species
CCUACGGGCGGCUGCAGUGGGGAAUAUUGGACAAUGGGCGAAAGCCUGAUCCAGCCAUGCCGCGUGUGUGAAGAAGGCCUUCGGGUUGUAAAGCACUUUCAGUGGGGAAGAAAGCCUUGGGGCUAAUACCCUCGAGGAAGGACAUCACCCACAGAAGAAGCACCGGCUAACUCCGUGCCAGCAGCCGCGGUAAUACGGAGGGUGCGAGCGUUAAUCGGAAUUACUGGGCGUAAAGCGCGCGUAGGCGGUCUGAUAAGCCGGUUGUGAAAGCCCCGGGCUCAACCUGGGAACGGCAUCCGGAACUGUCAGGCUAGAGUGCAGGAGAGGAAGGUAGAAUUCCCGGUGUAGCGGUGAAAUGCGUAGAGAUCGGGAGGAAUACCAGUGGCGAAGGCGGCCUUCUGGUCUGACACUGACGCUGAGGUGCGAAAGCGUGGGUAGCAAACAGGAUUAGAUACCCGGGUAGUC